UAUAAAAUUUGUUGACCGAAAACCUCGAGGUUAAUUUAUAUCAAAUUUUGUAAGAUGUUUUUAAAUGAUAUAUAAAGAAUGUUUUUAAAAUACAGGUUCCAUAUGAUAUUAGUCCUUGUCCGGACAAACUAACUAUCGGAAAUUGCUUUUUGGGUUGAAAAGCCUAGAGUGAUAUCUGAUAGGAGCGUUGGUGUUCUUUGGUUGUUGGUCUAAGGCGAUCAGAAGUAUUCUGAGAACCUCAGAUUGACCAUCGAGGAACAUCAACCGUGUCAUUUCCGGUCAACUACGAUCGGGGGUGUCACAAUCGGGGGCAUUCGUAUUUCAUAGUCAGAGGUAAAUUUUUUGGAUUUAUGAAAGACGAACAACUGCGAAAGCAUUAUCCAAGGAUGUUUUCAUUAAUCAAGAACGAAAGUUGGGGGCUCGAAGACGAUCAGAUACUGUCCUAGUCUCAACCAUAAACGAUGCCGACCAGGGAUCAGCGGAUGUUGCUUUUAGGACUCCGCUGGCACCUUAUGAGAAAUCAAAGUUUUUGGGUUCCGGGGGGAGUAUGGUCGCAAGGCUGAAACUUAUAGGAAUUGACGGAAGGGCACCACCAGGAGUGGAGCAUGCGGCCUAAUUUGACUCAACACGGGGGAACUUACCAGGUCCAGACAUAGUAAGGAUUGACAGACUGAGAGAUCUUUCUUGAUUCUAUGGGUGGUGGUGCAUGGGCGUUCUUAGUUGGUGGAGCGAUUUGUCUGGUUAAUUCCGUUAACGAACGUAACCUCAACCUGCUAACUAGCUACGUGGAGGCAUCCCUUCACGACCGGCUUCUUAGAGGGACUAUGGCCGUUUAGGCCAAGGAAGUUUGAGGCAAUAACAGGUCUGUGAUGCCUUAGAUGUUCUGGGCCGCACGCGCACUACACUGAUGUAUUCAAUGAGUUCACACCUUGGCCGACAGGCCCGGGUAAUCUUUGAAAUUUCAUCGUGAUGGGGAUAGAUCAUUACAAUUGUUGGUCUUCAACGAGGAAUUCCUAGUAAGCGCGAGUCAUCAGCUCGUGUUGACUACGUCCCUGCCCUUUGUACACACGGCCCGUCGCUCCUACCGAUUGAAUGAUCUGGUGAAGUGUUCGGAUCGCGGUGACGUGGGUGGUUCGCCGUCAGCGAUGUCGCGAGAGGUCCACUAAACCUCAUCAUUUAGAGGAAGGAGAAGUCGUAACAAGGUUUCCGUAGGUGAACCUGCAGAAGGAUCAUUG
rnacentral:ncRNA from 1 species